rnacentral:tRNA from 1 species
UAGCUCAGUCAGUUGAGCGUAGCGCUAGCAAUGCUAAAGUCACCGGUUCGAUUCCCGU